rnacentral:rRNA from 1 species
AUGCUUGCCAGGGUGGACAAGUACCUGUCCGGCUGGCGGGCUCGGCUCCUCUCCCCUGCCGGGCGGCUGGUGCUGCUUAACGCAGUGAUGGAUGCCCUUCCGACGUACGCGAUGGCGGCCAUGCUCCUUCCUCCGGCGGUGCUCAAAAAGCUGGACUCGCUACGCCGCGCUUUCCUUUGGAAUGCGGCCGACCGUGCCACCGGCGCACAAUGCCUGGUGGCCUGGGAGCGGGUCUGCCGUACCAAGGAGGAGGGGGGCCUCGGCAUGCGGGACCUCGCGACGCAAAACCGAUGUCUGUUGAUCAAGAUGCUGCACCGUCUCCAUGUGGCUCCCACGUCCUCGCGGUGGGCGGAGUGGGUGUGGGGGAAGGGCUGGGCGGGCGCUCCCUGCUCUCUGUCUCAGGCUCCCGGUCGGCCGGCGAGCACGCCAGGGCGCUGUCCAAGAUGUUGCCGCUCUAUCGGAGUCUGA